GUACUUCAUAAUGACCUCUUUGUUAGGUGGUCGUGGAGCAGACAUUGAUAUCUUAUGUGAAGCGAGAGGAUGAUUUCUUUGGGACACUACAUGACAUAUUGGCCCAAAUGGAGAAGUGACUGAACUGCAACCUGUACCUGAUGCACGUGUAGCUGUUAUGAAAUUUAAGUUCCAUGGAAUGGCAAUUGACCUUCUCUAUGCCAGUGUAUCGCUUUCAGUAAUGCCACCAGACUGGUAAGAUUCUCAAGAAGUAUGACAAGAGAACUGGGCCCACUAUCCGUCUUCCCUUCAUUCAAAAUGUGCUGCUUCAACCUUUUUUCACCA